rnacentral:tRNA from 1 species
GGGGUUGUGGCUCAGUGGUAGAGCAACUCGCCUAGCUUGUGCGAGGCGCUGAGUUCGAUCCUCAGCACCACA